UGAUGCGGCACCCUUCUUGUAAGUGACUCCU
rnacentral:piRNA from 1 species